rnacentral:rRNA from 1 species
AGAGUUUGAUCCUGGCUCAGGAUGAACGCUAGCUACAGGCUUAACACAUGCAAGUCGAGGGGCAGCAUGGUCUUAGCUUGCUAAGGCCGAUGGCGACCGGCGCACGGGUGAGUAACGCGUAUCCAACCUGCCUUACACUCUUGGACAGCCUUCUGAAAGGGAGAUUGAUACAAGAUGUUAUCAUGAGUAAGCAUUUUCGCAUGAUUAAAGGUUUACCGGUGUAAGAUGGGGAUGCGUUCCAUUAGAUAGUAGGCGGGGUAACGGCCCACCUAGUCUUCGAUGGAUAGGGGUUCUGAGAGGAAGGUCCCCCACAUUGGAACUGAGACACGGUCCAAACUCCUACGGGAGGCAGCAGUGAGGAAUAUUGGUCAAUGGACGAGAGUCUGAACCAGCCAAGUAGCGUGAAGGAUGAAGGUUCUAUGGAUUGUAAACUUCUUUUAUACGGGAAUAAACGAAUCCACGUGUGGAUUUUUGCAUGUACCGUAUGAAUAAGGAUCGGCUAACUCCGUGCCAGCAGCCGCGGUAAUACGGAGGAUCCGAGCGUUAUCCGGAUUUAUUGGGUUUAAAGGGAGCGUAGAUGGGUUGUUAAGUCAGUUGUGAAAGUUUGCGGCUCAACCGUAAAAUUGCAAUUGAUACUGGCAGUCUUGAGUACAGUUGAGGUAGGCGGAAUUCGUGGUGUAGCGGUGAAAUGCUUAGAUAUCACGAAGAACUCCGAUUGCGAAGGCAGCUUACUAACCUGUAACUGACAUUGAUGCUCGAAAGUGUGGGUAUCAAACAGGAUUAGAUACCCUGGUAGUCCACACGGUAA